AACGAACGCUGGCGGCAUGCCUAACACAUGCAAGUCGAGCGCCUGUAGCAAUACAGGAGCGGCGCACGGGUGAGUAACGCGUGGGAACCUACCCUUAGGUUCGGAACAACCGCGGGAAACUGCGGCUGAUACCGGAUGAUGUCUUCGGACCAAAGAUUUAUCGCCUUUGGAGGGGCCCGCGUCGGAUUAGGUAGUUGGUGAGGUAACGGCUCACCAAGCCUACGAUCCGUAGCUGGUCNGAGAGGAUGACCAGCCACACUGGGACUGAGACACGGCCCAGACUCCUACGGGAGGCAGCAGU
rnacentral:rRNA from 1 species